UCGGGAAUUUUGGGCAAUGGGCGAAAGCCUGACCCAGCAACGCCGCGUGAGGGAUGAAGUAUUUCGGUAUGUAAACCUCGAAAGAAUGGGAAGAAUAAAUGACGGUACCAUUUAUAAGCUCCGGCUAACUACGUGCCAGCAGCCGCGGUAAUACGUAGGGAGCAAGCGUUGUUCGGAUUUACUGGGCGUAAAGGGCGCGUAGGCGGCGCGGUAAGUCACUUGUGAAAUCUCUGAGCUUAACUCAGAACGGCCAAGUGAUACUGCUGUGCUAGAGUGCGGAAGAGGCGACCGAAAUUCUUGGUGUCGCGGUGAAAUGCGUAGAUAUCAAGAGUAACACCUGAGGCGAAGGCGGGUUGCUGGGCCGACACUGACGCUGAUGCGCGAAAGCCAGGGGAGCAAACG
rnacentral:rRNA from 1 species